rnacentral:rRNA from 1 species
UGAGGAAUAUUGGUCAAUGGGCGUAAGCCUGAACCAGCCAAGUCGCGUGAGGGAUGAAGGUUCUAUGGAUCGUAAACCUCUUUUAUAAGGGAAUAAAGUGCGGGACGUGUCCCGUUUUGUAUGUACCUUAUGAAUAAGGAUCGGCUAACUCCGUGCCAGCAGCCGCGGUAAUACGGAGGAUUCGAGCGUUAUCCGGAUUUAUUGGGUUUAAAGGGUGCGUAGGCGGCCUUUUAAGUCAGCGGUGAAAGUCUGUGGCUCAACCAUAGAAUUGCCGUUGAAACUGGGGGGCUUGAGUAUGUUUGAGGCAGGCGGAAUGCGUGGUGUAGCGGUGAAAUGCUUAGAUAUCACGCAGAACCCCGAUUGCGAAGGCAGCCUGCCAAGCCAUGACUGACGCUGAUGCACGAAAGCGUGGGGAUCAAACAGGAUUAGAUACCCUGGUAGUCCACGCAGUAAACGAUGAUCACUAGCUGUUUGCGAUACACGGUAAGCGGCACAGCGAAAGCGUUAAGUGAUCCACCUGGGGAGUACGCCGGCAACGGUGAAACUCAAAGGAAUUGACGGGGGCCCGCACAAGCGGAGGAACAUGUGGUUUAAUUCGAUGAUACGCGAGGAACCUUACCCGGGUUUGAACGCAUUCGGACCGAGGUGGAAACACCUUUUCUAGCAAUAGCCGUUUGCGAGGUGCUGCAUGGUUGUCGUCAGCUCGUGCCGUGAGGUGUCGGCUUAAGUGCCAUAACGAGCGCAACCCUUGCCACUAGUUACUAACAGGUGAUGCUGAGGACUCUGGUGGGACUGCCAGCGUAAGCUGCGAGGAAGGCGGGGAUGACGUCAAAUCAGCACGGCCCUUACAUCCGGGGCGACACACGUGUUACAAUGGCGUGGACAAAGGGAAGCCACCUGGCGACAGGGAGCGAAUCCCCAAACCACGUCUCAGUUCGGAUCGGAGUCUGCAACCCGACUCCGUGAAGCUGGAUUCGCUAGUAAUCGCGCAUCAGCCAUGGCGCGGUGAAUACGUUCCC